GUGCCACCAUACCUGGCCACAGUUUUUAUUCAAAUUUAAAAUGCACAUAUCUUUUAAUAAUGUGAAAGUUGCAGACAUUAGGAUGAAAUCACCUUUUGACAGACCCAGACAAAAUAGAGACAAAAAGAGUCCUUGUUUCCAAGGACUUUCUAAAAACCCCACAAGAAACCCUUUCACGCCCUUCAUUGCAACUCCUGCUUUCACAUGGUUUAUCACUGCCAUUCUUUAGGACUGCAGUAAUUCAGAUAAGAUGCACUCAAAAGAACACUUGCCCAGUAAUGGCAUCGCCACCAAUGAACUGACAACUUGGCUUUGAGCCUCUGGAACCAAUGAACUCAGUUUCCAAGCAGCCUGUGUGAACCUCUCCCUUUUUGCUAAUAAAAGCUUCCCUUUACCCUUCCCUCACUGGAUGUACUGGUGGUUUGCCAGUGCAUUCCAAAUUACCAUACUUCUUU
rnacentral:lncRNA from 1 species